UACGGAGGGUGCGAGCGUUGUCCGGAAUCACUGGGCGUAAAGGGCGCGUAGGCGGCUCGUGAAGUCAGUGGUGAAAGCCCCGGGCUCAACCUGGGAAUGGCAGUGGAUACUGGCAAGCUAGAGUGCGGUAGAGGGGUGUGGAAUUCCCGGUGUAGCGGUGAAAUGCGCAGAUAUCGGGAAGAACACCCGUGGCGAAGGCGGCUCUCUGGGACGGUACUGACGCUGAGACGCGAAAGCGUGGGGAGCGAACAGG
rnacentral:rRNA from 1 species